CAGGGGGUAUUUUAUUUAAAAUGUUAAUUUUGGGGAUUAAUGAAAUGGAUUUUCCUUUCCUCUGA
rnacentral:tRNA from 1 species